rnacentral:rRNA from 1 species
CGCAUCUGUGCAUGCAGCAUAUCAAUAAGCGGAGGAAAAGAAACUAACAAGGAUUCCCUUAGUAACGGCGAGUGAAGCGGGAAGAGCUCAAAUUUGAAAUCUUCAAGGUUUUACCUUGACGAAUUGUAGUUUAAAGAAGUGUUUUCUGUUGAAGUUUUGGUAAAAGUUCUUUGGAAUAGGACAUCAUAGAGGGUGAGAAUCCCGUAUUUGACCAUUAUUUUCAGCUGUGUGAUACACUUUCAAAGAGUCGGAUUGUUUGGGAAUGCAGUCCAAAAUGGGUGGUAAAUUUCAUCUAAAGCUAAAUAUUGGCGAGGGACCGAUAGCGAACAAGUACCGUGAGGGAAAGAUGAAAAGAACUUUGAAAAGAGAGUUAAACAGUACGUGAAAUUGUCAAAAGGGAAGCGUUUGACACCAGUGUUGUUUUCUCGAAAAUCAAUUAAAAAGAGUUAGAUUUUGUUGUGUAUUGACCUUAACAGCUUGCAUUUCAAUUUUCUUGCUUUUUUUAAUGCACUUUUCGUUUAACAAGUCAACAUCAGUUUCUUUCGUUGUAAAAGGGUCAUUGGAAGGUGGCUUUCUCUUCGGAGAAAGUGUUUAUAGCCUUUGAUCUCUGCAAUCGGAGAGACUGAGGUCUGCAGCGUAGAUCCUUCGGGGUUAGAUACAUUUGUGCUAAGCUACUAGCUUUUCAUAGACAACUUGUUGACUAUGAUUUAGUCUUGUAGCUUACCCGCUUAUGCUAUUUUACCUACGCUUAGGAUGUUGACGCGCGUGUGUGCGUG